rnacentral:rRNA from 1 species
ACUGCCUGCCCAGUGACCAAAAUUAAACGGCCGCGGUAUCCUAACCGUGCAAAGGUAGCAUAAUAAUUUGUUCCUUAAUUAGGGACUAGUAUGAACGGCUAAACGAGGAUCCAACUGUCUCUUAUUCUUAAUCAGUGAAAUUGACCUUCCAGUGAAGAGGCCGGAAUAAAAUAAUAAGACGAGAAGACCCUGUGGAGCUUUAAUUAAUUAUCUUAAUUAUCAAACCCAAACCCUAAUGGAAUAAAAAUAUAAACAUAAGAUAACAAUUUCGGUUGGGGUGACCUCGGAGAACAAAAAACCCUCCGAAUGAUUGUAGCAAAGACAAACAAGUCAAGGCAAAACAUAAAAUCUUAUUGACCCAAAACAUUUUUUGACCAACGGACCAAGUUACCCUAGGGAUAACAGCGCAAUCCUAUUUAAGAGUUCAUAUCGACAAUUAGGGUUUACGACCUCGAUGUUGGAUCAGGACAUCCCAAUGGCGCAGAAGCUAUUAAAGGCUCGUUUG